GGAGAUGUAGCUCAGUGGUAGAGCACAUACUUGGCGUGUAUGAGGUCCCGGGUUCGAUUCUCGGCAUCUCCU